rnacentral:rRNA from 1 species
UUACCAGGUCUUGACAUCCCCCGCGAUGCUUUAGAGAUAAAGCGGAGGUAUUCGGGGAGACAGGUGGUGCAUGGUUGUCGUCAGCUCGUGUCGUGAGAUGUUGGGUUAAGUCCCGCAACGAGCGCAACCCCUAUUGCUAGUUACCAUCAUUAAGUUGGGGACUCUAGCGAGACUGCCAGUGAUAAACUGGAGGAAGGUGGGGAUGACGUCAAAUCAUCAUGCCCCUUAUGACCUGGGCUACACACGUGCUACAAUGGUCGGUACAAAGGGUUGCCAAGCCGCGAGGUGGAGCUAAUCCCAUAAAACCGAUCGUAGUCCGGAUCGCAGUCUGCAACUCGACUGCGUGAAGUCGGAAUCGCUAGUAAUCGUGAAAUCAGAAUGUCACGGUGAAUACGUUCCCGGGCCUU